CGACAUAUGUUUGUUAUCAGAGAGAGGUGCUAUGAACACAGAGCCAUUUUCUUAGCAGCUUUUUGACUGUAUGUUACCAUAGUCCCACGCGGCAUUGGUCCUUUCCCAUUGGGAAGUCAUGAAUAAGAGACUAUGAAGCUUGCACGUCAGGUCUUCCUCAAUUAAUCCACCAUUAGCAUGUUUGGGAUCCACUACUGGAUGGUUAACAGCAGCUUUGGUAACUGUAUGCUGUCCAUAACCAAUUAUGCUCUGCUAAAAAUGAACUCUGCAGACCAACCUUCUUGAGCUGUCAGUGUCUCCCGUUUUCCUAUUUUAACGUUUGUAUGUAGUGGCAGGCGACAGAUGGUGUAGAUCAGAUCGAUUUGAUUGCAUUAGGCGAUUUUUUUCCUCCUCUCCCUCCGACUCCUUUUCUGGAAGCCCACAUCAUCUGAAAGGCGAUCGCCGGGGACCCGGAAAGCACCAGCAGCCGCCGAUGUGUGAAGGCAACUGGGCACGGCCAGCCAGAGGCGCCGGGCUUCGUUCCCAGGGCACAGUAAUCCGGCACCAGGAGAGAAAGCCGCGUUCUGCUGCCCAGAGCCUAUUCCCCGACACAUAUCAGAUGACUCCCUGGUUUUACACACAGUUGGAGUUCUGCUUGAAACCUGGAUUUAAAGGGGAUCUGUUGCUGUGAAUGACAUCUAUUCCAAGCACCCAGAGAGAACUGAUGGAGCACACAGAUGGGAAUAGGAUGCCAGGCAAGCACAGAGGAAGAAAUCAGGAAAUCACCAGAACUGGAAGUACAGCAGCCAUUGGAUAAUGGGACGGGAUCACUCGGCAACUCUGUGGAUUCUCCUUCUCCUUCCUCUGUAGGGGAAAUAUAGUUAUGGAUUUAUUGCCCCGGUGCAGCAGUUCCAGCAGCAGCAGCAGCAGCAGCCUCAGCAGAUUUCUGACUCUCUUCGGUGACGGGUAUUCUUGGGUGGAUAAUACGGAUUACGUUGUUAUUGCUUAAGAAUACGCGUAGUCGAGGAGAGUACCCGCGGCAGGCAGGCAGGCAGCGGCCGCCCCCAGCCCAGCAGCUGGCUCCUAAUCUACUAUAGUUGCCAAGGUAGCCCCUUUUUGAUCUUUUCCUGCACUUUGCUAUGUCUCUCUCUAUGUCUGUGAUUAGGUGAUCCCAGGGGUUGCUAUGUACACGGCAGGGGUAGGAGACUCUGGUGAUGAGUCUAGUCUUCUGCAUCCUAGGCUAGUUCCCCACGGCUUCUCUUUCCCCAAAGCGUGUGCGCGGGAGGGGCUGCCGAGCCAAAACCGUGUCCGGCUGGGACAGUGCCGAGCCGGUGGGGGGGGGGGGGAUGUGACUAUGACCUUUGUCCUCAUGUGUCCCCCACCCCCUCCCCAUCAAUGCUGUGAAAUACUGAGAGACCUUUCUGGUUUGGGCACUUAGUAGAGCGUCAGGCGAUGGCUCUGGAAUAGGCAGAGAGGAGAGAAAACCUGCCGCGACCUAAACCCGGGGGAGAAAAGGGGAAUCGCCUGAGAUCGGCUUUGUAAUCCGUUGCUUGAGCUGCAUUGUUGCCAAGGGGUCUGUAGGGAGCUGCCUGGCUGGUCUCCUGAUGAUGGCGGGCAGGUGUCGAGGGCUGGGAACGGGGCUGAACGCGGUUAGACGCGCUCAGAGGGGGGCCCUAUCCCGCGACUCCUGCGCAGGCAUCCUGCCCAUUGGCUUCCACUGGAGAUUACAUUGGUUUCCGUGGGAGGUUUGGGUGCGCAGGGGACGCAGGAUGGAACUUACCUGGUCCUCUACCCCUGGAGCCCUCUUGCGCUGAUUCCCUUCGAACACGAUCCCUGGUGCAGUGCAGGACCCGGCAUAGGGAGAGCGUGACAAAGCUGCGCCAGGACGGGCACAAGCAGUUGUUUGCUGAUGAUCGGUUACACGUAGGUACCUUUAUUCCCAGUGUGGGUCUGGCACUAGCCACGGGCUAAGCAAGCAGCCUAGGCACUAUUUGGCCUGUGCAAAUUCAAUUCGCAGGACAUCAGUACCCAGAACACACAGUCCGCCCGCCCACGCUGCCAGUGCAUUGUAACAUUUCAAACAUGGGUCCGAAGCAGGUUUUUUAUUCUCCUUCAUAUGGCCUGAUGCUGACAGUCGAGGGGGCUCACUCCUCCGUGGGAUUGGCCCCUGGUGUAAAGAGACCCCACAAUAGAGCUCACCCAGCUUGCCCCUAUGCUGGACUCUCCCGGGGUCUGGGACCGCACAGCGCACCCAUCUGCCUGCAUUCCGCCGGGGACGAUUCUCGCCCUAAUCCUCCUCUACGGAUUCAGGGAAACUCAGCUCAGUAGCUGGGCAAAGAGAAGACAAACCCCACCUUGCCUGCUAAAGACAGAGACAUGGGAAACGCUGUCAAGUCCUGGACUUGGCAAGAAGCAACAUGGGGCCAGAACUAGCACCCCAGCGAGUGCCCUAGAGCCCCAGUUUCUUUUUUUCUGUCAAUGCUAAUCGCUUCGCUGUGCUCAAUGCAAGGGGUGCAGAGGAGCAACUAAACACUCCCAAGAGAUCUACUGGCCUCCAGUAGAACGCUACAGGUCGCAUGAAUUCCUGGGGAACUCAAGUGACAGGAGUUAAUCUAAAGGGCAGCUACCCAAAGACGUUACACCUGCUGGAGCAUUCAUAUAGGUACAGCUAGACAGCGAUGGACGGGGGAUUUGCUGUUGAGUUAAAAUUUCCCCAUCUCAGAGUAUUUUCUGAUUUCUGCUCAUUCCCUCACUUCAUCUUUUCCCUUAAUUAAGCAAAUGAACCUCCACCCUAAAUUGCCAGCUUUCGCUCAGAACUCUUUCCUGACAAGAACAGGGCAAACUUUUUUUUUUAGCAAAUCCGCCUCCAAGUCAAAGUAUAUCCCCAUGGUCCCCUUUUUAACACUGCAAACUGCUGGUAUGGUCUGUGGCCUUCUGCAACCGCCGCCCACAGCCAGAACAAGAGCCCUUUGGGGCAAUGUAAUAUUAAGAAAUAAUACGCAGACGCAAGAAGGCAAAACAAUGUUUUCCUUCCAGGGUUUUGGGAGGGGGGGGAGAGGGUGUUAUUACACAGUUUGAAUUUUGUUGAGCUCAAAAGGCGAUAGUAGAUUUUGUCCCGCCGACACGCUUCAGCGAUCUCAACUUUCUUGCUACCCUGUCUCUGUUCUUGCCAUGGUGCCUCUAGCCCAGUCGGCAGCGUUCGAGCUGUUCACAGCACCUUCUCUGAACUAAACCGAGAGUUUGAUGCAUGUCGCCCAGUGUAGGGAAACGGAGGCAGGUACCUUUUGGAAGGAGCCUUUUAUGGCGACAGCACAGUAGGCACUGCCUAGCUUUGCUUUUUUUUUAAAUAGAAAGCUGCCUCCCCUUUUCAGAGAGAACACCCGAAAGGAAAGAAAGGUGUUCUGUCCAUCUUGAUACUUCUGCGAUCGGUGCUGAGGGAAGUCCAUUGUCCAUCGCACCCGGGCACUGUGGCCAGGCUAAAACCUGCAACAAGGGCUCAUUAGAAGGGAUUCUUGGGGGAAUGUCAGAAAAUUCCUAGGCGGGAGACCUAAAUCUAAAGGAAAUCACAGCAAACCCUAUUUAACUGAGCCGCGCAAUAUGCUGGACCCUGUAGUAGUGAUUGAUCUAGAAUGAUUAAUCAACAUCAAUAGCCUUUCUCCAUACUCACACAUAAGUUCCCAACAGGAGCAGCACUAGAACUGUGCAGAUGUAUUUGCCAGUUUACGAGCUUUUCUUUUUUUAACAAGAAUAUGUAACGGCAAAAAGCGAAUAGCUUUAGAAAGAGAGGGAGGAAAUUAAAAUCUUAAAUCACAAUUGGCUGAUUUAUCUUGGGGAUUAACUAUUUUGCUUCAGGAAAUAACCACUUUGCAUAGGCUGCCAUUCCCCACUGGUCAGUCCUGCUCAGGAUUUACAUCUGUAGAGUAACUACGUUGUAUGUGCUAUUCAGCUGGAUACAGGUGCUGACACCGGCUGAGCCUGAAUGUCCCGUCGUGUGUUACCGUGUUACAAUAACACACAACAGUCUUUACUCAGCUGCAGCCGGGUGCUAAAAUGCGCUUUCUUUACUACUAGCGCCGAACUAAAUCCUGAAGUCCUCGUCUCCCAAUACCAUUUAUGCUUUAGGUGACAGUAAAACAGAUGGCCUGGCUGCUUAAGCUCACGUUUUCCUUCUUUUGUCAGUCAAGAAUCCCAGCCCCUAACUUUGUGGUUUAUAGUUUGUGGCCCUGAUGUUCUCCCGAGUGUAUCACAGCCACAGAGCUGGGGUUGCCAGUUUGAUCUCUUCCUAUCAAAUCAAAUGUAGGCAAAGAAAUCCCUGUCGGCUACACAGAAGGGGAAGGUUCAUGUAGGGGCCUUAUCUCAGGAAGUGUAUGGAAUACAAUAGACUGAAAUGCUAGGGGCUGGCAGGCUGAUGUGAAAAAAAUAGGCUGCAGGGCUAAACUUCCCACUUUUAUAAGGUAACAAAGGUGGGGCAUAGUUUGGACAAAACACUCGGCCCACCUAUUCCAGCCAACAUAGCUUAGCAGCACAGCUAGAGUUCUGGCUGGAAGGUGGGUUAGCCUUUAAACUGCGGAGCUCAGAUUGGAAAUCAAAGCCAUGGCAUUCAUACCCAUCACCUUCCAGCUCACUCUCGCUCCGCCCCGCCCCACAUACAGUAGACACAGAGACAUUAGAUAGGCACGCAGGCGCACUCAUCCACAGGCUUUUUUUUUCUUUUCUUUUUAAACUGGUAAUAGUGGGGAGCCUGGCAUAAUCUACGCAGACUUUUUCCCUUCCCCCUUCAAAUACAUAGAUAAUGCCACUUUUUUUUAUGCUACCCAUGUAUAAAUGUGAGCGCAGUGAAUUAGAUUAGAAGCCAUUUUAAGGCAAACACAGAAGUGUGGUGUCGAAAUAGAAUAUUUUAGGAUGGAGCCUUACAUAUACUCAGUUAUUAAUAUGAUUAUUUUUAUGAUAGUCAAGAUUUUAGUGGUGAUGAAUUUGCGCAUAUAAGGUGGGGCUCCUCGAGAAUUUCUCUCUCUUGCAUAGCAGUGGAAAGACCAUCUAUGUUCUGCUUAAUUAUUUCAAACUGCUAAAGGACUCUUACCCUUCAAUAGACACUGUAGCUCUCAUUGUGACACAGACAUAUGUAGAUCUGUUAUUCUUUAGACAUUUCUUUUGAUAACAGCACUGUGAUCAUCUUGGUUCUCUAAUACCACUUGAAAGCAGAGUUUUUAUUUGUAGUUUCCUAUGUUCAGCGGCUGCAGAAAUAACGUGAAAUUGCACUUUAAAAAGUCACGCAGAAAGCUAAGAAGAUCAGUUGCUAAAUGAUAGUCAGUUUUAGCACCGUCACAUACCUAUGUUCUAAUUGCUGCAAGAACAGCAAUUGAAACGCCAGGUUUGUAUUAUAAACCUUCCUCUGAUCUAAGCUCUUAGUUGACAUUUUCCCUUGAGUCAUGACUUAGAGUAUUAUCAUGAGUUCCCCUUUCAUCACACAAAGGAUGUGGUUUUGUUUGCUUUUUUGUUUUGGUUGAGUAUCUUGUGCAGUAAAGAUUGGACUUAGUUUUAUCCAUAAAUAUAAGCUUAGCAAAACAUCUUGUUGUACUUUGUUUCUUAUAGCUACUUUCUCUUUAAUACGAUUAGCUGUUUCUGCUGAAUAAUACCUUAAUGAUAGGGCUGAUGCAUUUUUAAUGCAUGUACUCUUUGUCAUUGUCUAAAUUAACAUUUUGAUGAUUGUAGAUUUUUUUCCCUCUAAAAUCUUUAGGGGAUUGCUAUGUUAUGUGCUUACUAACAGCUGAAAUAUAAGGUCUGAUCAGAGAAAUAUUAGGUGUGGUCAUCAAAAUUAGUUGGAAAAUGUUGUUUAAAUGCUCAAUAGCAUAAAGGCUGCUAGAAUUACAUUUCCCAACAGCCUUCUUAAAGAAACAACCUUUGAGUUUCAGUAGUAACUCUUGGGAUCUGACACACACAUUUACAUCCAAACUCAUAAAAAUCAGCUAGGCUUGACUUCCAAGCAACACAUCAAUAAGAAUAAGCUGUGCAUUCAAAGGGCCUGAUUCUGUGAACAUUUGGCUUCAGUGGGACUUCUUGUGGGAACAUGAUUACUCAUGUAUACAGCUAAAGCAUUCAGGGCCCAAUUCUCCCAUUCAAGUCAAUGGCAUAACACCAACUGACUUCAUUGUGGGCAGGAGAGGGUCCUAGUUCCAAAGGUUUUUAACAAGAUUUACAGCAUUUAUUUCACUAGUUUUACAUGUGAAUCCUGACCACUGAAAGUUUAAUCUGUUCUGUAAAUGUCUUAAUCCUGUAAAGACUUGCCUAUGAGUAACUUUACACAUAUGAGCAGUCAAUAGGGCUAUUGUGUGUCUAAAGUUACUGGUGUGUAAUUCUUUGAAGGAUUAGGGCUUCUUUUGUAAACAUAACUGGCUUUAGGAGUAAGUCCAUAAAAACAAUCAAAUGCUACCCUGAUUUAGAAGUCUGAUCCUGCAAAGUGCUGAGCCGUUAUUGAGAAAUGCUGAAUCCUUUCAGCUCCCACUGAUUUCAACAGGAAGUGAGACCGCUCAACCCUUUGUAGGAAUGGGCCGUUAAGUCUGUGUAACCCCAUUGGAAUUGCCUGGGUGCAAA